rnacentral:tRNA from 1 species
GACUCUUUAGUGCAGUAGGCAGCAUGUCAGUCUUGAAAGCUGAAGGUCCCUAGGAGGGUGUGGUAUACUAGGAGAGGCUUCUGGAUACAAGAAGAGUCA